ACAUCUCAGGAAAAAUUCCAGAAUUUUUAGAGAAUCUUGCACUGGAAUUUUUUAACAUGUCCUUCAAUGAUUUUGAGGGUGAAGUUCCUGCCAAAGGUGUUUUUGCAAGUAAAAAAGCAAUAUCAGUUGAAGGUAACAAGAAGCUAUGUGGAGGCAUUCCAGAAUUACAAUUGCCUAAAUGCAUCAUUCAAACAUCAAAGAAACAAAAGAGCAAGCGACAUCUUGUGAAAAUUGUUGUAAUAGCCUUAUCAUCUGCUUCUUGUGUCAUUGUUCUGUUAACCUUCCUGAGUUAUAGGUGCAGAAAGAUAAAAAGACAGCAAUCUCCUGAUUUAUUGGAAACAGGGUCAUUGUACAGACUUUCAUAUGACAGGAUUCUUAAAGCAACAGAUGGAUUCUCUUCAACAAAUUUAGUUGGUGUGGGAAGUUUUGGCUCAGUUUACAAAGGCAUUUUUAGUGAUGGAGUAAUUGUUGCAAUCAAAGUAUUCAAUCCUCAACAAGAAGGAGCUGUUAGGAGUUUUAUGGCCGAGUGUAAAGCCUUGAGAAACGUACGCCACCGAAAUCUUGUGAAGAUCAUAACUUCUUGCUCAAGCAUUGAUUUUCAGGGAAAUGAUUUUAGAGCACUUGUAUAUGAGUAUAUGCCAAAUGGAAACUUAGAUCAGUGGUUGCAUCAGAACUCAAGAAUAGAUGUUAAACUAGAUGAACAUCAGAAUCUUAACCUUCUUCAAAGGAUAAGCAUUGCAUUAGAUGUCGGAAAUGCACUAGAUUAUCUUCAUCGACAUUGCCAUAAGCCAAUUGUCCAUUGUGAUUUAAAGCCAAGCAAUAUUCUUCUAGACAAUGACAUGACUGCACAUGUAGGAGAUUUUGGACUAGCAAAGUUUCUCUCAGAACUUACUAAUCCAGUUCAAAGCAGUUCAAUUGGUGUCAGAGGAACAAUUGGCUAUGCAGCUCCAGGUUAUUGUUGCAACCUUUUUUUACAUUUGUUUUGUGCUAAAUUUUUCACUUUGCUUACAUUCUAUGUAUAUAAUUUUGCAAAUUGCAGAAUAUGGUUUUGGAAGUGAGGUGUCGACAAGUGGAGAUGUUUACAGUUAUGGGAUCCUACUGCUAGAGAUGAUGACAGGAAAGAAGCCCACUGAUGAUAUUUUUGUGGAAGGUCUUAACAUUCAGAAAUUUGCUAGAAUGGCAUUGCUUGACCAAGUUUUGGAAGUUGCAGACCCAAGCCUUUUACAAGAAGAAGCAAGAGUAAACUGCAAUGAAAGUUCAAUACAAACAAGGAAUCACUGCAUAGUAGAAUGUCUAAUUUCUGUGAUCAGAGUUGGGCUAGCUUGUUCCAUGGAGUAUCCUCACCAAAGAAUGGAUAUAAGCAAUGCAGUGAAUGAGCUCCAGACAAUAAAAGACAAGUUCAUACGAGAAAAUGAGAGGGUUGUCUCUGCAUAGGAGUGAGUAUUCUUACCAAUAGAUAUAUAUUUGGCAUAAAUUGAAUGAGUGAGACGACUCAGUUUGGAGAUAAUAAUAAUAAAGGCCAAUUAAAUGAAUUUUUCUCUCUUAGGAAUAAUAUUUACUUCUAAAUUAAAAAUUACUUAAGAAAAGACAUGAAUAAGUUACAUGUAGUUCCCAACGUGAAUGCCCUUCCUCUUAUUGUCAUAAUUCAUAAAAAAUAAUUCAAGAAAAGUAAACAUAGCAGACUACUGAGAUAUCCUCUGUUUUGCUUCCGACAAGAUUUAACUCUAAUAAAUCCCCUGUUUAUAUCAUCAAUCAGACAAGAUUGUUGAUAUCCCCUGUUUCUUCGAUAUAUUUUUUGGCUCUGCAACUUGGUUUUAUAUUAGUUACAAAAUCAGAAGAUGGGAGUUUCUUGAUUUGUCUAACAGUUUAGCAAAUAAAAUCAUUUGCAAAAGCUCAGAAAAUACAUGAAGCCUAGGAAAACUUGUGCUGUCACGUUUGGAUGUGCAACUUCUGAUCCUUUCAGAUUCAAAAAGACAAUAAAAUCAACUUCAAUUAUGGUUUUAGGCCAAACCAAAAUCUAAAUAAUUUAAAAGUAUCACUCUCAAUUAGCAUAAUAUCCAGCUAAGAAAAUGUCAAGAGAUCAGUUUAUGUCCUAAAUUAUAUCGUAGAGAAAUAAAGCCUACAUAAAGGCUAAAGCCUUGCUUAUAUGAAUGAUCGUUGGAAACUAAGUCAUAUUCUACUUCUUGACAGCUAAAUUGGCAAAUUCGAAGUAGCAAAUUGAUAAGAACUAAUGGGUAUGAUCGGAUUAGGGUGAAAAAUAAUAAAUUCUCAAAAUUUAUUCACAUAUAUAAAAAAAAAAAUUUUUAAAAAAAGAGAGAGAGAAACUUCCCAUAUUUGUAGCGUUUUUUAAAAUCCUGAAUACAUUAGAAUUUCAGUAAUCAAAUUCAACUCUACUUAGGAAUACGAAAUUAAAAUGCAUUUCCUAAAUAAAACUACUAAACCUAAUAGACAUAGAAUUACUAAACAAAUAAUAUUCUAAGACUUCCUAAUUUCACAAUAAAUAUAAUUCUCUUCCAAUACUGGGUCACCAUUCAUAUCAAGAGCACUCAACACGUAAGGAUUCACAGCUUAUAUAUACAUUCUCCGAUACCCAUUUAGCCAAAACUCACCUCUCAAUCCAAGAGAGAGCACUCGACAGUCCACAUUGAAGAGAAUGAAGCAAUUAAAAGAAGAGCAGAUCAAUAAAGCCGAGUUGAUUCUUGAGGAGUCUUCUGUUCAGGAGAAGAUUUUGCUUUCUCAGGAAGAAACCAGUUUUGUGAACAAGGUAAGGCAACACCUGGACUGCCAAGAUGAUAGGUUUGCGUACAAAGAUUUCGUCCAUGGAUGGAACUUGUAUAAAGGGGGGAAAAUGGGUAAGCAUGAUCUUUACUGCCAGUUGGUUGAUAUUCUUUCUUGUGACCAUCAAGAUUUUCUUGAAGAAAUCAAGGAGUUUUUGAGAAAUUUUAGGGCUUGUGAUUGUCCUCUGGCAGAAUAAAGGAGGAUGGUAUUGAUUAUGGAACUUGCAGCUUCAUCUUAUUAGUUAUUUCCAAUAGUUGACAUUCAGAAAUUUUGUGAAAAAUUGUCCAAUGCUAUGAUGUUUCAAUUGUGAUUGAGAAAGAAACAAUCCUUUCUUUUCUUCUCUUCUAAGGCUUCACGUAACAUAGAAAAAUUGAUCGAAUCAAGAAAAUUAAGCUUUAAAAAUUACUAGAU
rnacentral:lncRNA from 1 species